AGCCUGCUGGACCACUAAUUUAUUUAUUAUUAUUAUUAUUAUUUUUGCUUUUCUAAAUCACAUCUGGGUUUUGUUUGUGAAACACGGAAAUAGAGGACUUUAUCCAGCAGGAAAUAACGGCCCUUCACCUUUCCAAAAGUUGUAAAACUUGGCAGUCUGAAAGUUUUCCAUCUGUACAGUGGGCAAGCUUGAGCUAAACACCAUGCAAACGGAAAGGCUGCUGUUAUCUCCGAAAUACCCUCCAGCACGCUGGGGAUGUUCACCCCUGCGGGCCCGAAAGGGAGUUUAUACAAUUUGGGAGGAGGGAGGAACAGGGGAUUCGGAUAGGAACCCUGUGUUCGAGCUGCGUGGACGUCCUCUGUCGUUCAGUGAUCAUCUGCAUCCCGACCAGCAGAAUUUAUUUGCCCCUUUCACGAUUUGCAAUGAUUGGUUUUGCCUGGCUCUCCUCUCCUCAUCCUCCGAGGACCCGGAAUUCUUGACCCCCACUAGAUGUAGGCGGUGACGUCAUCGCUUCGGUUGGGGUUCUCUGUUUCCUGGAAAAUGACACUGUUGCUCUCUACAGCUAGGAAGAGUGUCUGGAGCGAAGAAACGUUUAAAUGCAGUAAAAAAAAAAAUGCAGUAUAAACUUUCCCUUUGAGCAUGAGCUCAUGAGCUAAAGCAUUGUUAAUAGCUCCAAAGAAUAGAAGAAGAAAACCACAAAUGUUGCAAAACGUUUCCCGGCAGUCAAAUAUUUUUCUUUCUCUCCAAAAAUAACCUCCUAAUGGUUAAGGAACAGUUGGAGGCCUUAGCUAAAUAUUUCAGAGUUCAUGACCUUAGACACCAGGAACUGUUCUCUGAUUCCCUGGAAUAUCAGGCGAGCAAAGUGAUUGGAGCUUGCGCUUUUGAACUCUGGUUUUCAAAGUUGAUUAUUUUCCGGUUAGGUCUUAUUUUCCGGGAAGCACGGAUGUGUCCAGAUCUGUUUUCUAGAUGGAGGAGUCAAGUGAUAGGACAAUAUGGGUCUGAUGUGCCAAUUACCUCAAUAAGACAGAAGAAGACAGCACCGCCCCCAUCCUACUCUGCUGGGUAUCUCCAAACAGUACCCCCAGCUGGACCUUCCAGUGAAGGAGCCCCAUCAACCACGCCUCUGCUUCCUCACAGUAGACGGGAUGCAUGGAGCAGAACCCAACUGGAGACAGUCACCGGAUGUUACCAGAGCGAAUAUUAAGUAUACCUCUUUCUUCUCUCCAAAAAUGUGACUUGCAAAGGUGGAAAGGAAUGAGUAAUGGUUUACUUCCAGGCUCCUCACCAGUCCUGGAUGCUAUAAAAUGCAGCUUUUCUUCAAAGCCCCCUACAGUGAUCGGUUAUGACAGCACAGGCCAUGAAAUCCAAGGGGUCAGGGACUGGGGCCAACUGGUUCGGUGAAACUCAGGCAUCUGGAACACAGCCUGCUGCACAGAACCAUGCUUUUCAUUUAUGAGCUCGUUCCUCUCUCAUCUGCAUCAUUCCAGUAAUGACUUAGGGAGAAAACAAAGCUUUAGUGUUUUAAUGGACCCAGAGAGGCGAUGUCCACUAAGUGACCAUUUCAUAAGUUAUUUAGCUUCCUGAUUUUUUUCAUGUAAAAUCUUACAACAUAUAUACUAUGAAUACAUGUGUAUAUACAUGUAUAGUAUGUAUAUAUAAAUGUACAUGCAUGUAUAUAUGUAUGUAUGGCUGAAUGAUUGUGUCCCCCAAACUUUAUAUGCUGAAAUUCUAACCCUCAACUUGAUGGUAUUAGGAGGCAAAGCCUUGAGGAGGUGAUUAGUUCAGAGUGGCCAAGCCCUCAUGAAUGGGAUUAGGGUUCUUAAGAGAAGCCAGAGCGCUCGUUGCCCCUUGCCCCAUGGAAGAACACAGCAGAAACGUGGUCAUCUGUGAAAGAGGGAGGGAGCAAACCCUUGAUCCUGGACUUGCCAGUUGCCAGAACUGUGAGAAAAUGAAAUAAAUUUCUGUUGUUUAUAAGCCAUCCAGUUCACAGUAGUCCAUCAUAGCAGCCUAACUAGAAUCAGACAGUGUGUUUGUGUAUGGGGAUGUGAAUGUGUGUAGGGCUAUGCAUGUGUGGAGAGAGAGAGAAAGAAAAAGAGAGAGGAAGAUGAAGACCGAGACAGAGACAGAAAGACAUAGAGACUUUUGCCAUCUAAUAUGAAAUUACUUUAACUUCUAAGAAGAAGGUGAUGUGGAGCAAUGCAGGAAGGGAACUGCUAAAGCAGCCCAAGUGUAUGUGAUAUUUACCCACAAUAAAAACUCCAAAAUGAGUUUAACCUAAAGGCAAGUAAAUCUCUGACAAAAUAACAACCUACAGUAUAUAAAUAAUAACACAACUUUUGAAUAAGUCAAAUGAAGGGAAAAAUAAUCCCUCUCUUUUAUGCCAAAAGUUUAUUUUCCCAAAAUUCUAAAGAUGAGGGCUUUACAUUGUGAUGUGUUUCCCAAGCUCUUAUGCCGGCUAUGGAUUGAACGUUAUCUUCAUAGCAAAACAUGUUUUGCCUGUAUAAAAAAGACAGCAGGGGAGCUGGAGGCAGUUUCACACACCAAACGAGCCAAUUUUGAUUGGGAGUAAGAGUUCUGAGCAAAGUAUGAAAAGACUAUACACUCCCUUUUUCACUUUGUACUGAUGAAAAGAUAUCUUUUAAAGUAGAAGAUAUGCUGUUAUCACUUGUGAGGGCAGAUGUGUUCUGUUACCUGUCCUAAAACAAGGAGAUUUCAGUACAUUUUCCAAAAAUUAGUCACUGUUUAGUGGAACUCCUCAUUCCUGUGCUAUUUCUGUUCUUCUAAUGGAAGAGAGCUCUUGGUAACCAUUUCCAAGAACUAUCAGAUGCUCUUAGGAGGAAUUAGUAAGUUCUUGUGCCUGAACUUGCCUCACUGCCUUGGCAGAAGAAGAAUAGCAUGUACUCAUUUAUUACUGACCAUGACCGUACCGGGGAGGACAAAGCCCUCACUUGAAAUAUAUCAACAACAUCAAAAUAUUGCAUCAAAUAAAAAAGUUGCCAAUUUAGAAAAGUCAAAACAAAAUGCUUGUAUGCACGUUUCACUCUGAUGCUCAGCUAAAAUGUGGUGUGUGUCAUAUUUUCCACUUCUUUUCUUCUUUCCUUCCUUUUUUCUUUCCCUCCACCCUUCUUUCCUCUUUGCAAAAUAGUGCGUUUAAAAAUUAAAACAUUUCUUAGCUUACUGAUCAUUAAAAAGGACAGACGACAGACUGACCUCUGCGUAAAGAAAACCGGUUUCCAAGCCUUUGAUUGAGUGUCUACGUUAUGAUAAUUAACUUUCUCAAUCUUGGAUGAAUUUUACAUAUGAACAGUUUAUGCUUAAGUAUAUCACACUGCUCUGCUAAUAAAGAAAGAAAGAACAAGGGGUAGCAAAUGUUUUCUCAGCUGCUUCCUCCACGGGCUCUCUCAUUUAAUAUAAAAUCUGAGUGAAUGAGGCACUUACCAGCAUUCGUUCCAGCGUGACCUCUUUCUUGAGCUGGUCAACUUCCAUCUUCAGCUUGUCCUUUUCUGUCAGGUCCUCAAUAUUGA